GUAACGGUUUCCAUAUGCUGCGCUGCUCCCGCUUCAGACAACCAGAGAGGAGUGGGGGCAAUGCACGGACAGAGUGUGGUCCAGAGACGCCAAGAGGUUGCAUGCCCUGAGCAUUCUGUUCCCAGAGGCACCUGGUUCCUGUGAUUUCAAAUGUAAACUUUCUCCAGGACAAUGCUCCAACCAACUGAGGCACCCAACCAGGACCUGGCCCAUCAUUUCUGUACAGCUGACGGGUGGCACACGAUGUGAAGUUGUCAAAAGAAGUGUUAAUAAUGCUGAUGAUAUGCCACCACCCCAGGAAAACUUGGAAAGGCACAUCGUGGAGGAAGAAGCACAAACCACUUCCACGCCCGGAAAGCUCUGUGGAAGGAAUGUUCUGUGGAAGGUGCGGCUGCCUGGAGAGGUGGGCGGAAGAAACUUCAGAUGCGUUGUUUACAGCCUUAGCGAAGCCUGCUCCUUGAUCUGCUUUAGAAAUGGAAAUUACUGGCUCAGGGGCGCCAAGAUCCCGCCUGCUCACCGCUCCAGAACGACCGUCUCAUCCAUCUUUCCAGCCCAGGAGGAACCGAGAGCCUUCCCACAGAUUGGAGCUCCCGGGGGAGGGUCCCUGACAUCAGCCCCAGUAACCCCCCCUCCAGCUCCUGCAGCUUGACCACCUGAUCUGCACAAUUAGCACCUUGUUAUAUCCCAUCCUGUCUUCCACUGUCUGCAAGGAAGGAUUUAGCACUUUAUUAGAUCAGCACAUAUGCAGCUAUAUAUAAUGCUCUCUUGCUCCCUGGCUCAUGGAUGAUGUCUUGUCUCUCCCAUGAAAAAUGGGCAGGAGUUUGGUCUGUGUUUUUUUCUAUCUCAUGGCAUCCAGCACUGCGCUGCGCACGUAGCAGGAAUUCUGUACAUUCUGUUUGCUGUGAUGAUCGACGGCCUGGACGGAGAAUCCCAAAUACUGGGGCUCUAUUUCCAAGCUGCCGUUUCUCUGUUUUGGCCAUUAGAUACAUCAUUUGUCAAAAUAGAAACUGUACAAGUGGAAAGAAGUAGCUA